rnacentral:pre_miRNA from 11 species
AGGUGUCCUACAGGAGUGACCUGAGAAUCACAUGCCCGCAUCACCCAUCUUUGCUCUCAUGUGUUCUCAGGUCGCCCCUGCUGGACUCCC